rnacentral:rRNA from 1 species
GCGGCAAAGCUCAAAUUUGAAAUCUGGCACUUUCAGUGUCCGAGUUGUAAUUUGAAGAAGGUAUCUUUGGGUCUGGCUCUUGUCUAUGUUUCUUGGAACAGAACGUCACAGAGGGUGAGAAUCCCGUGCGAUGAGAUGACCCAGACCUAUGUAAAGUUCCUUCGAAGAGUCGAGUUGUUUGGGAAUGCAGCUCUAAGUGGGUGGUAAAUUCCAUCUAAAGCUAAAUAUUGGCGAGAGACCGAUAGCGAACAAGUACAGUGAUGGAAAGAUGAAAAGAACUUUGAAAAGAGAGUGAAAAAGUACGUGAAAUUGUUGAAAGGGAAGGGCUUGAGAUCAGACUUGGUAUUUUGUAUGUUACUCUUUCGGGGGUGGCCUCUACAGUUUACCGGGCCAGCAUCAGUUUGGGCGGUAGGAGAAUUGCAAAGAAAUGUGGCACUGCUUCGGUAGUGUGUUAUAGUCUUUGUCGAUACUGCCAGCCUAGACUGAGGACUGCGGCUUCGGCCUAGGAUGUUGGCAUAAUGAUCUUAAGUCGCCCGUCUUG